rnacentral:rRNA from 1 species
GACGAACGCUGGCGGCGUGCUUAACACAUGCAAGUCGAACGGAAAGGCCCUGCUUUUGUGGGGUGCUCGAGUGGCGAACGGGUGAGUAACACGUGAGUAACCUGCCCUUGACUUUGGGAUAACUUCAGGAAACUGGGGCUAAUACCGGAUAGGAGCUCCUGCUGCAUGGUGUGGGUUGGAAAGUUUCGGCGGUUGGGGAUGGACUCGCGGCUUAUCAGCUUGUUGGUGGGGUAGUGGCUUACCAAGGCUUUGACGGGUAGCCGGCCUGAGAGGGUGACCGGCCACAUUGGGACUGAGAUACGGCCCAGACUCCUACGGGAGGCAGCAGUGGGGAAUAUUGCACAAUGGGCGGAAGCCUGAUGCAGCAACGCCGCGUGCGGGAUGACGGCCUUCGGGUUGUAAACCGCUUUUGCCUGUGACAAAGCGUGAGUGACGGUAAUGGGUAAAGAAGCACCGGCUAACUACGUG